rnacentral:rRNA from 1 species
AUUGAACGCUGGCGGCAUGCCUUACACAUGCAAGUCGAACGGCAGCACGGGAGCAAUCCUGGUGGCGAGUGGCGAACGGGUGAGUAAUAUAUCGGAACGUGCCCAGUCGUGGGGGAUACCGUAGCGAAAGCUACGCUAAUACCGCAUACGAUCUAUGGAUGAAAGCGGGGGAUCGCAAGACCUCGCGUGAUUGGAGCGGCCGAUAUCAGAUUAGGUAGUUGGGGGGGUAAAGGCUCACCAAGCCGACGAUCUGUAGCUGGUCUGAGAGGACGACCAGCCACACUGGGACUGAGACACGGCCCAGACUCCUACGGGAGGCAGCAGUGGGGAAUUUUGGACAAUGGGCGCAAGCCUGAUCCAGCAAUGCCGCGUGCAGGAUGAAGGCCUUCGGGUUGUAAACUGCUUUUGUACGGAGCGAAAAGGCUCUCUCUCAUACAGGGGGCUCAUGACGGUACCGUAAGAAUAAGCACCGGCUAACUACGUGCCAGCCGCCGCCGUAA